rnacentral:siRNA from 1 species
UAAAUAUGGUGUACAUGAUAUG